rnacentral:lncRNA from 1 species
UUCAUAAAAAAAACUUUCUUUAUUAAAUAUACAUUAUAUACAGUUUCAUAGGUCUGUACAACAAUAACAGUAGAAAACAAAGGAGAGUUUUUUUUCUGCCAAGACACGUUACAUUGUCUAUAAAUCGGUUUCUCGUUGAGGCAAAGUAUCAUUUUUUAAGGAAGCCCCUUCUGCAAAACAUAUUUCAUUAACAAUGGGAAAUUGUAUACAAAUAUGGGUUCAGUUUAACAAACACACUUUGACACUGAAGUGCCAGAUUUCCACUAAACUCAUUGCACUUCAUUGAAUUGCUGAACUCUUGGCACACAGAGAUAAGAUAAGUUGCCUUUUUAUUUAAUGCAUGAUAACAGCAGGGGAAAAGGGGGGUUAUUAAAUUUGGUUUACGAUAGGUCAAAGGUAACAAGUAUAUUUCUGGAGGGACUAAUCCAAUUUUAUUUUUUAUACAUUGUUAAAUAAAUGGAUGUGUCACGUAGUCCAUCGAUGCCACAAACAUCAUCUUAUUUUGUCUUAAACAUUAAAUGUUUUUUAAAUUUAUUAUAAUAUAGACAAGAGCCAUGUCCAACACUUCCUUAAUUUAAAUAAAUAAAAAAAAAAACAUGGCUCUAAUUAAAAUAGUUUUGAUUAAACCAAUGGGUUGCCUAUUGACAACACUCCCAUCAUUGGGUGUUCCUCUCCCAGGAAGAUUGAUUGGUGAUAUCACCACUGCAAAUCAUAAUUCCACCCACAUAAUGUAUAACUUGUAUAAUGUAAUUCUAUAAUAAAAUAUAUCAAUGAAUAUGGGCAUAUGUAAUUUAAGGCUCUUUUAACCUACCAAUUGCUGUUUACUAAAACUAUAAAUGAUAAAGAAAUAGGACAUUUUUUGUUUUAAAAAAGUGUGGUGAAUAGCCUGCACAUUUCAAAUGAUCAAAUUUGUGUUGAUCCUUUCCAUAGAGUAAUUUGUUUUCCCAGGUAGGUAAUGAUCAGCCCUGAAUUGAAAGUAUAAGACUGAAUGUGAUGCUCUAGGUUUUACUUUGCAUUGUUUUACAAAGCAAACGAAAACAUAGCCCAUUUAUGAACAGAUUUGGAAGAGAAGGAGCUGAAAUGUUUAAUAUCCAUUACCUAAAAGACCUAAAAGCUAAUAGUCACAGAGGUAUUGGAUCUCUUUAUCAAGGAGUCCUGCGCAAAUGAUCCCACCACUGCCUCCAUUUCUUAUAAUCUAGUGUAAGAGACUUUCCUUCACUUCCCUAUAGUAGUUUAUGGAGAUGCCAGAUAUCAUGUAAAAUCGAAAACAUUUAAUUUAAUUACCUAUGGCCCCGUUUAUGACCAAUAGAAUCCGGUGAUGGUGGCUAAUGAUUAAUAAAAGUGAUGGAUUGAGUGAAUGGAAUGGACGGGGAUGAUCAUUUUUCUAAAUAGCCCUUCUACUGCUAAGUUCUGCUUUAAAUUAUAUUAUGGUUUAUGAUAUUCUUGUAAUAAUAGAUAGUAUUCUUGUAAUAUCCUUGUAAUACUAUAAUGAUUUAACAAUCUUUUUACAUAUACUAUGUACGUUUUGAGCCACUACCGAAAAGUUAUUGUUAUCAACAUUAUGAUGUUAGACAUCUAUAGUUUCAUACAGCAAAAUAGGUGCCAUAGUGUAUAUCUAGCCAUUAUUUUUGUCAAAAUAAUCUCAUAAUAAUGGUAAUUGAACCAAUGUGUUUAGAAUUGAGAUUUGCUAACCAAUACAAAGAAUGUUUAACACAUCCAAUUAAUAUCAGCAUUUUACAGAAUGCACUCAUUUUUAUCAGAAAUGCCUGAGUUUUUAUAUGUCUGAGAUUAUGCCUGAAGUAAACAAACAAAUAUAUCAGAAAUAUCUACAGUAGAUAUGCAACAGAUUUUAAAAUAAUAUAUUCUAUUAUUUUAUUGCUUUCCUCCCAAAGUACUCAAUGUGCUUAACAAUGCCAACUAAAUCAGAAAAUUUGUAAUACAUGUUACUAAAUCCAAACUCCAAUGAUACUGAGUGUGACGACCUUGGAAUGAUGAAACUCUGAUUUCUGAAAAGAUAUCAACCUACAACUCUGAGGUAGGUAGAUUAACCAGCAGGACUUGAAUAUAAAACAUCAAGAGAUUUAGCGCUUCAGGUAAAUGCCAGAAAUAUAAAUAUUUUCAAUGAACACUCAAUAUUAGUUCAGUAUUAUCUUCAACAUUGUAAUCAUUCUUUUUUGAAAAACAUUAAUUAAUUUCACUUUCACAGGUGAUAUUUCUAAUUAAUCUCUGAAUAUGUUUUUGGUGAUUUUACCAUAAUUCCAGUGUAUGGAUUACAAUCUGAUAGAUUUUCUUCAAAGCAGUCAUACCAGAAGCAUGUGAGUACCAAGUGUGCUGACAAAUGUCUUUCUUAAAUAGUAACACCAUUUUUAAGACUACAUUUUCGGGAAUAAUUGCUCUAGAAAAUAUAUAUUUGUUGAAUGCUUAAAAUAUUGGGUUUGAAUCAAAUUUUAGAUUUUAAACAUAUACUUUAUACACUCCUAAUAAUAUGAUAGUUUUGUUAGAACAUCACAUAUCUCCUCCCCCAGAAGUAUCCUAAUAUAUUCAUGUGUUGAAAAAAGGGAAUUGAGAGAAACGUGGAUUUUUUUAAUAGUAGGGCUGUUGUAAUGACUACAAUUUAUGCAAAAUACACAUUUAGGGAAGAGUCCACUUAAAAAUAUAGUUUUAGCAAAUAAAUCUAGUUUUUUUUUAAACAAUACUGUAUUUAAGACCACUGCUCCAAUGUACCCCUAUAUAAAAUCUGAGCGGGUUACAUACCUAAUUAACAUUAUCCAUAUGGAGAAACUAGAGGCAACAAGAAUUUUCUAAUUUUCACUGCAUAUGUUUACAAUAUUGUAAAAAAAAAAAUUGCCACAAACAUGAUUAAUGAAUCCCUUAAGUAUACCAAAUGAGAAGAAAAAUCAAGCCAUUUUAUCAAUCUAUUGCUUUUAUAUGAAGUGAAUACAUGUCUGGCUUAAUAUAUUAUCAUGCUUCACAAAUUAAAUAUUUAAAAAAUAAAAAUGUUCUGUGAAAUGAACCCUCUUUUGAUCUUUAACAGGAUUUACGCAAGCACGGUGCAAUUUUUAAGAUCUAUACUUCUCAAACAUAUUUUCUCUCUAAAAUAAGUAUUUCAGGAGAGAAAAAGUUUUAAAAAAAGAGAUUGCACUGUACAAAGUGUGCCCACAUUUGGAAUGCAGGUUUGUAGUUUUAACGCUAUAGUGUUCCGUUAAAAAAAAGUAUAAAUUUAUUUAAUCUGAAUACAUUGCAAAUGGCCAUCCUUUGCUAAAGUACACACAUUAUCUCAUAUUAAAUUACUACUAAAUGAUGAAUCUUUCUGUAUAUAUAUUAUUAUAUAGUAAACCUACUUUCUAGACAACCCCAUGAACUAUUCAGUAUUUCAAGAACUUAGACGUUAUAAGCUCAUUGCAUCAGAGCAGUACAGUAAAAUCAGCUUUAAACUGAAAUGCAGCUUUGAUAUUUCAGUUGGAAAUAGGCAUACAUUUGAGAAUAUAACCCAGCCAUAGGGCAUUUUAAAAAUGUAAAACUUCAGUUCUGGUGAAUCAAUGGAUUGCCAUCUAAUUCUAUCAAUGUUGAAAGACUUAGCAUUGCGUGUAUGUUCUGUGCACUUAAACUUGUUAAAAUCUUCAACAUCAUAUAAACCACUUUGAAUAUAAUCAGUAAGUUCAAAGCACCCAAAGAUUGAAGCUUUUGUGUUACAGGGAUUUUAAGGGAGGAAGCGCUACAACAGUUCCUGAGUGAACCUCGGAAUUCUGAUCUACAAAAAAACCUCAAAUUAUCUAUAAGUACAAUGUUAUUUAAUUUAAUCUGUCUAAUUCAUGAAAAUAUAUUUUUUAACAUUGAGAAUAAAACCAUAUGAAAAUAGGAAUAUUAAAGUAUUCUAAAUCUCAUUACUCAUCUCCUGGGAUCUACUUAUGGCAGUAAAUUUAGUAUGGGGUUAAUGUUGAUAAGGUGAAAUAUGUUGCUGAUAGUCAGUAAAAUCUAUUCACUAUUGUGAAAAAAGGAAAUUCUCAUAAAAUGUUUGAUAAACUGAUUUCCUGACAAUAUUGAGAAAUUUGGAAAAUUCUGUAAUUCUGUAUAAUUUGUUUGUACUUUUGGGAACAUUUGGCAUUUUGAUUGUAAAACAUAAAAAGUAGAAAUUUUGUUAAAAAGUAAUUUCACCCACCCACCAUAGUAAUUUAUAAAUAAAUAGAUGUGAUAAAUAUUUGCAGGCCUUUUUGUACAUUUGUUCUCUUUUUAACAUAUGUAAAUUGGCACAGAGAGAAAAUUGAUAAAACACAUUUCUAAUUCUUACUAUUUUCCCUUUUCUAACUUUUUACCUCAUCCACUUCAGUACUUCACUAAGGGUGGUGAUGUAGCAGGAUGAUAGGGUAACUGUGUAGAUUGAGGGGGUAAUGUGACAAGCUGACCAGCUGUAUGGGGGGGAGAGGAAGUGAUGUGACAGUGUGACCUGAGUGUGUGUGUCGGGGGAGGGGGCUUCUGUUAAUGUGAAAGGGUGACUGUGUGUGGGGGAGGGAAAAGAGUGAUGUGAAAGCAUGAGUGUAUGGGGGGUAGAUUGUAUGUGAUUAGACUGUAUUACCUUGUUCAGUCUACCCGCAAUUUUCUGCUUGUUUUGAUUGUAGCAAAACCUUCCUCAGCUUUCAUUACCCCUUCAGCCACCCUCCAAUCGUUCUGUGUGAUGGUGGCUUUGUAUCUUCAGUGUCUACCUGGCUUCUCUCUUGCUGUGUUUCACGCAGAGCAGAGAGGAUGUAAUAUCAUGUAUCAUCCCCCUUUGUGCUCUAUGUGUAUAUAGGCAGGCAGGGGAGAUGGAACUCAUGGGCCCCCUGUUCACCCUCCCUGGACAGCAGCAGCUUAGACAUGGAGGUCAGGCUGUCAGACCCCCCUCCACUGCUGGAGCUGCACUGAGAGAGCUAACAGUUAGUGUUCAGCUAUGUGAAGAAGGUCAUAGAUUGGAGGCUGCUAGUGCCACUGAGCUGUGACUUUCAGUAUUUACAGUAGAUAUAAUUUGCAAAUGAAAUUUAUUUGCAAUAAACACAUUUAUUUAGAAAUUAUGCAAAUUGUGUAUACACAAGUGCCGAUGUGAAGUGUUUAAAGGUAUUCUAACCACAUUAUGGGGUAAAUUCCAAAAAUACAUCAGAAUAUAUUCAUUAUACUUUGCUGUCACAUUCAUUAAAUUUCCUUUUUUUCUGACUUAGAGCAAAACUGUAAGAAAUACUUUCAAGCAGCCACUUUAAAAUACAAUCAGUCCAUCAGAAAUCAUUCUACAAUUUUGCAAAAUGAAAGUUUUUUUUUUCAGUCACGAAACUCAACUAUAACUUUUUAUAACUAAAUAUAGUAUUAUAAAAAUAAUCUGAAAUACCUUUAACCAUCAAAACUUUAUCUAUAAUAAUUUCUUAGGUGUAUUUUGUCCCAGACAUUUUUUCUCUAGGCCAGAUUAAUUCUAACUUGUCACAUGAUAAGGACAAUGACAAGAAAAGGGCUGUUAUAUAGCAGCUGUUGAUUUUUAUUUAGAAUUAUUAUAAAAAAAUAUAAUUAAAUAUCUGUGUA